GACGAACGCUGGCGGCGUGCCUAAUACAUGCAAGUCGAACGCUUCUUUCCUCCCGAGUGCUUGCACUCAAUUGGAAAGAGGAGUGGCGGACGGGUGAGUAACACGUGGGUAACCUACCCAUCAGAGGGGGAUAACACUUGGAAACAGUUGCUAAUACCGCAUAACAGUUUAUGCCGCAUGGCAUAAGAGUGAAAGGCGCUUUCGGGUGUCGCUGAUGGAUGGACCCGCGGUGCAUUAGCUAGUUGGUGAGGUAACGGCUCACCAAGGCCACGAUGCAUAGCCGACCUGAGAGGGUGAUCGGCCACACUGGGACUGAGACACGGCCCAGACUCCUACGGGAGGCAGCAGUAGGGAAUCUUCGGCAAUGGACGAAAGUCUGACCGAGCAACGCCGCGUGAGUGAAGAAGGUGUUCGGAUCGUAAAACUCUGUUGUUAGAGAAGAACAAGGACGUUAGUAACUGAACGUCACCUGACGGUAUCUAACCAGAAAGCCACGGCUAACUACGUG
rnacentral:rRNA from 1 species